UGGGGAAUAUUGCACAAUGGGGGAAACCCUGAUGCAGCCAUGCCGCGUGUGUGAAGAAGGCCUUCGGGUUGUAAAGCACUUUCAGUAGGGAGGAAAGGUUGCAGUUUAAUAAACUGUAGCUGUGACGUUACCUACAGAAGAAGGACCGGCUAACUCCGUGCCAGCAGCCGCGGUAAUACGGAGGGUCCGAGCGUUAAUCGGAAUUACUGGGCGUAAAGCGUGCGCAGGCGGUUUGUUAAGCGAGAUGUGAAAGCCCUGGGCUCAACCUAGGAAUAGCAUUUCGAACUGGCGAACUAGAGUCUUGUAGAGGGGGGUAGAAUUCCAGGUGUAGCGGUGAAAUGCGUAGAGAUCUGGAGGAAUACCGGUGGCGAAGGCGGCCCCCUGGACAAAGACUGACGCUCAUGCACGAAAGCGUGGGGAGCAAACAGG
rnacentral:rRNA from 1 species